AAACGUCAUUUGACAGCGUAAAGCAAAACAAAACAAAAAUCGUCGAGUGUUGGGAGUGUUGGGGGUGGGAAAUUCGUUUUCUUUAUCCCUAGAAAACAGGACCAGAAGAUUGAAUCAGAGAUCUUCAACGGCAACGAAAACUGAUUUUACGGUGAAUCACAGUGAGGAACUGCAAAGUGGUCUUCCAAAUCAUAUCCUUGUGUGGGUGCUGCCCGUUGCCGGAUUUUGCACACUGAACUACUAAAUAAGGUGGUGUUAAGCUGCACGAUUACCAAUUGGCCUUAAAGAAAGGUUGGUGGCCCUUCUGGAGUUUUUCACAGUAAAGAUUCACACCACUGCCAAAAGGCCAAUCAGAAGAUUUUUUUUUGCGAAUUCAGCUGAACCAGCUUAUUUGGAGUUUCCAAGGAGCUGCUCGACCUGCUGCCAGCUUCUGCAGCAAACACAACAAUUUGAUAACAGCGACCUUAGAUCAUUCAGCACAAAAUUCUUAUCAAGAUGCUAAAGCUUGUAAACUGAUAAGUUCUGCUUGAGUUGGAUGACAUGCUACAUGAUGUAGUCAUACUGAUGCAAGCGGUUGGAUGUGACAGCCAGACUUGCAGGAACAGUUGAGACGACGCUUUGCUGCUGAACCUCGGCCAUUCCAAGAGGGUGAAUCGAACGCCGAAGAGAACCUCGCUACGUCCGGAAAUGACCUCCAAGCCAUGGUGUUGAGGCGUUCACCACGACCAAAGAAGCGGACCAGGAAGUUAACCUCACGGUGGAGUUGGCCAGGGGUAAAGUAACGUAACGUAAAGUAGAAGGUAACGAACAGCAUCAGCAUUUCGAGGGUGCUAAGAGCCAGUGGCUUAAGGUCGGUUGAUGACAGCAAUUCAUGAUUUCACAAUCAUGUAAGUUUCAACCCUUUUUUGAUUAUUUAUACAAUUUUGGUUAAACAUUUUGCAUUUGUAUAGCCAUUAUUGUAUUGUAUUGAUUCAUCA